rnacentral:misc_RNA from 1 species
UCCAAAACCUGGAACGAAUC